GGAAAAUUAGUUAAAUUUUAUAACAUAAGAUUGUCAUUCUUAAAUUAUUUUUAUUAAAAUAUUUUCUU
rnacentral:tRNA from 1 species